CCUACGGGAGGCAGCAGUGAGGAAUAUUGGUCAAUGGACGAGAGUCUGAACCAGCCAAGUAGCGUGAAGGAUGACUGCCCUAUGGGUUGUAAACUUCUUUUAUAUGGGAAUAAAACGUUCCACGUGUGGGAUUUUGUAUGUACCAUAUGAAUAAGGAUCGGCUAACUCCGUGCCAGCAGCCGCGGUAAUACGGAGGAUCCGAGCGUUAUCCGGAUUUAUGGGGUUUAAAGGGUGCGUAGGCGGGAUGUUAAGUCCGCGGGAAAAGCCCGGGGCUCAACCCCGGCGAGCCGUUGAAACUGGGUGUCGUGAGAUGUCGAGAGGUAGGCGGAAUGCGCAGUGUAGCGGUGAAAUGCUUAGAUAUUACGCAGAACGCCGAUGGCGAAGGCAGCAUACCGGCGGCGAUCUGACGCUGAGGCACGAAAGCGUGGGUAUCGAACAGGAUUAGAUACCCCUGUAGUC
rnacentral:rRNA from 1 species